rnacentral:rRNA from 1 species
UGGGGAAUUUUGGACAAUGGGCGCAAGUCUGAUCCAGCCUUGCCGCGUGCGGGAAGAAGGCCUUCGGGUUGUAAACCGCUUUUGUCCGGGAAGAAACGAGUUUCUCUAAUACAGAGACUUAAUGACGGUACCUGAAGAAUAAGCACCUGCUAACUCCGUGCCAGCAGCCGCGGUCAUACGUAGGGUGCAAGCGUUAAUCGGAAUUCCUGGGCGUAAAGCGUGCGCAGGCGGUUAUGCAAGACAGAUGUGCAAUCCCCGGGCUCAACCUGGGAACUGCAUUUGUGACUGCAUAGCUGGAGUGCGGCGGAGGGGGAUGGAAUUCCGCGUGUAGCAGUGAAAUGCGUAGAUAUGCGGAGGAACACCGAUGGCGAAGGCGAUCCCCUGGGCCUGCACUGACGCUCAUGCACGAAAGCAUGGGGAGCAAACA